rnacentral:misc_RNA from 1 species
UCGUUAUUGUAGUCACAUCUGCAAUAAUUGAACGACAAAUAGACUAUUAGUUAGUUGCCACUGUGAAAAAGCCAUAUGAAAGGAAUAAUCUGAUUAUUAUUAUAGCUGCAAAUAUUAUUGCUGUUACUCUUUCACUAGUCCAUUAAGAGACCGGUUAUCCACAUUAUUGGGACUAGACGUGGCCUAGGCUGGUUUGGCCCGUGUACUGGAGCGGAUCAGUUUAGGUCUAUGGUUGAAGACCUUGAACGUUUUGAACUUGGGUUAGGAGUUUGUUAUGGGUCUUAAUCUUGAAUCAAACUGAUCAAAUUCAAAAGCAUAUUUUUUCUCCUAAAUUUAUAUGGUUUAUAUUUGAGCCUUUUUAAUUUUUUUACAUUAAAAAUUAAAUAAAUUAUAUCUAAAAGUUUAUUAUAGUUUGUUAAUGUUUAGGGCGGAAUCGAAAUCGUUUUGAAAUCACUUCGAACCAAAAUUGGGUCAAAAUGUGAGAUUGGAAGAUCUAACAGUUUCAGCCCGAAAUUAGACCCGAACCAGUCUUUGGCUGGGUCUAAUUGGGACUAUGAUUUUGCAGGAGCUUUUCUUUGAUAUUUGAUUGUUUCCUCGGUACGGUUCUUAAGAAAAAUAUCACAAUUGAUAUAAGCUGGCAUCAGGAAAGAUCACAUGGAUGGUGUAACAUAUAAAUCUCCGAAUUACAAAAACGAAAAUAACUCACUCUUCAGGAAGCUACAAUGUGGGG